AGGCCGGGCCCCCGGCCGCUCAGCCCUCGAUGGGGGACGACCCCA
rnacentral:ncRNA from 1 species